rnacentral:ncRNA from 2 species
GUAUAUUAUUCAUAGAUUUGUGCUGAAAACCUGAAUGGAAUAUCGGAAUGUGGUGAAAGUCCACAGCGGUCCCGCCACCGUAACCGGGGAUGAACCCAGUACCCUUUUUUUGAGGGGCAGUCAUUAUGUUUGGGCUUUGAUCCAGGCAUGAGAAGACACUGGAAGUAACGUGAUCCGGAAGCCGGGAGACGGUUCCAAUCAGGAUACCUAGAC